rnacentral:pre_miRNA from 1 species
UUGAAGAAUUUGAAGGCUUCAAUUUGCAGACUAGAAGAAUUGGAAGGCUUCAACUUGCAGACUUGACAAAUUUAAAGACUUUAACU